rnacentral:rRNA from 1 species
CAUUCUGGAUCCACGGAGUUUACAUAGCGGAGUAUCCGAGCAUUUUACUAGGAGGAUUCGCAGAUUGCCAGAACAUCCCAUAUCCGGAAUUACAGAAGCCAAUUUAAAAGGAGUUCCGCCUUGGCUUCUUCCGGCGGAAGGUUCCGGCUUUCUCUUGUGUAAAGCGCCAUUGUAGCACGUGUGUAGCCCUGGUCGUAAGGGCCAUGAUGACUUGAGAGUCAUCCCCACCUUCCUCCAGUUUAUCACUGGCAGUCUCCUUUGAGUUCCCGGCCGGACCGCUGGCAACAAAGGAUAAGGGUUGCGCUCGUUGCGGGACUUAACCCAACAUUUCACAACACGAGCUGACGACAGCCAUGCAGCACCUGUCUCACGGUUCCCGAAGGCACACUUCUCGGUCU